CAGUAGCCGCGGUAAUACGUAGGGUGCGAGCGUUAAUCGGAAUUACUGGGCGUAAAGCGUGCGCAGGCAGUUUGUUAAGACAGAUGUGAAAUCCCCGGGCUCAACCUGGGGACUGCAUUUGAUACGUAUGGACUUGAGUGGAGAAGAGGGUUGUGGAAUUUCCAGUGUAGAGGUGAAAUUCGUAGAUAUUGGAAAGAACACCGGUGGCGAAGGCGGCAACCUGGUCUUUAACUGACGCUGAGGCGCGAAAGCGUGGGGAGCAAACAGGAUUAGAUACCCCGGUAGUCCCUGUCUCUUAUAC
rnacentral:rRNA from 1 species